UAUGUGCAAUCCUUGGAUAUUCUUGCUGGAAAGAAUGGAGUUGGACCUGCGAAAGUAACCAGACUAAUGUUUAAGAUUAUUUUCAAGUUGUUAAGGAUUGUUAAGAACAUUGGGCUUGGAGGUAAAAUAAUUUGAAGGAGAAGGUGUACUGAUGCUAUCUGAUCAAUUUGGAGCCAAAAGCAAGAGCUAUGAGGAUCUUGAAAUGAUAACAAACUAGAAUCUGAUGCAGGACAAUAGAAUUUACUUAGUCAUGUGCGACACAAACUUUUUUCAUAACAUGCGAUCCGAU
rnacentral:misc_RNA from 1 species